CGGGGCGUAGCGCAGCCUGGUAGCGCACUUGGUUCGGGACCAAGGGGUCGGUGGUUCAAAUCCACUCGCCCCGACCA
rnacentral:tRNA from 3 species